rnacentral:lncRNA from 1 species
UCUGGCAUCCACCCUUCCAUCAUUUAACAUUCUUUAGGGGUAGACUCUAGCACUCGACCAGUAAAUAAGAGAAAAUGAUGAUUCUCCUUGAAAAUAGUAGCGACAAUUAGACAAGAGGUAAAUAAAUUGCUAACUGUCAGUUUGUUCGUGAAGUCACCUACCCGGAUUGGGUGUUAAAUAUGGUAAUGGUGCCCAAGCCUGGGAAUAAAUAGAGAAUGUGUGCAAAUUUCACA